CCUACGGGUGGCAGCAGUGGGGAAUAUUGCACAAUGGGCGCAAGCCUGAUGCAGCCAUGCCGCGUGUGUGAAGAAGGCCUUCGGGUUGUAAAGCACUUUCAGCGGGGAGGAAGGCGGUGAGGUUAAUAACCUCAUCGAUUGACGUUACCCGCGGAAGAAGCACCGGCUAACUCCGUGCCAGCAGCCGCGGUAAUACGGAGGGUGCAAGCGUUAAUCGGAAUUACUGGGCGUAAAGCGCACGCAGGCGGUCUGUCAAGUCGGAUGUGAAAUCCCCGGGCUCAACCUGGGAACUGCAUUCGAAACUGGCGGGCUAGAGUCUUGUAGAGGGGGGUAGAAUUCCAGGUGUAGCGGUGAAAUGCGUAGAGAUCUGGAGGAAUACCGGUGGCGAAGGCGGCCCCCUGGACAAAGACUGACGCUCAGGUGCGAAAGCGUGGGGAGCAAACAGGAUUAGAUACCCCAGUAGUC
rnacentral:rRNA from 1 species